rnacentral:rRNA from 1 species
UGGGGAAUAUUGCACAAUGGACGGAAGUUUGAUGCAGCGACCCCGCGUGGAGGGUGUAGGCCUUCGGGUUGUGAACUCCUUUUUCUCGCGAAAAAGGCACAGUUUUGGCUGUGUUGAUGGUAGUGGGGGAAGAAGCGCCGGCUAACUACGUGCCAGCAGCCGCGGUAAUACGUAGGGCGCGAGCGUUGUCCGGAUUUCUUGGGCGUAAAGUGCUCGUAGGUGGUUCGUCGCGUCUGUCGUGAAAGCCAGCAGCUUAACUGUUGGUCUGCGGUGGGGACGGGCGGGAUUGAGGGCGGGAGGGGUGACUGGAAUUCCUGGUGUAGCGGUGGAAUGCGCAGAUAUCAGGAGGAACACCGAUGGCGAAGGCAGGUCACUGGGCCGUUACUGACACUGAGGGGGGAAAGCGUGGGGAGCGAACAGG